CAGAGAAUAGUUUAUUGUAAAAAUGCCAGCUUUGGGAGCUGGAGAGAAAGGUUUAAGUCCUUUUUUUCUGA
rnacentral:tRNA from 1 species